CAGUAACCUUCCCCUGUAGCUCGCCUCAUCCUCCACACCUGCCUGAUCUCUGGGAGAGUUAUUUUUUCCAUGGUUUCCCAGGUGCAGAUGGAAGGUAGCUGUGCCACGCAGCACCAGGCAAUGUCAAGACUCUGGGUUUACAAGACCUAUGUGGUGGGAUAGAGGAAGAUCACUGCUGGAGACACUCACAGAUCUUCUGGAGCAGCAGGAUGUUCUACAAAAAUGUUCCAGUGUAGCCAGCCUUCACAGACAUCCUCACGCUGAAAGAUGCUAGCAGUGCCACAGCUAUGUUCAAAUGGUACACACAAUCAAACCCAGAUCACUAUCUUUAUCCUGGAGAGGACUGGAAGCAAAUUUCUCACAGUUGUCAGACACCCACAUACUUCGUGCUGCACGUGACUGUUGGCCAUCCCAGAGUCACAAACUGCCAAGGACCAGCACUACUCCCUUUCUAGGAGCCAGCCACCACUAAGCAUGCACACUAGCAUGGUGUGGCAUUGUCUUAUGUAAAUUUGCCAUUCAAGAGUAUGCCAAGUCAUCAGAGAUGAUUGUGCCACAUACAGAAUGCUGGAGAUAGCAAACCAGGAUUUGUCAAAUAUCAGGAGAACAUGUUAGAUAUCUAACUGGAGUAGCAAAGAUGAAUAAAAGGAUGGAGGUGAGCAGAGAGGCAAACAACUCAAGGUCACAUGGCAUGUUAUUAGCACAGCUAAUAACAUCCCAAUUAGUAUCCUAAUUAAGCAGGUCAUUUUCCUAUCACAUAAUCCACAGACUCUCUCCUGCUUUAUGUUCAGAGAGCUUACAUCUGCUUUGGAUAUGUUUUUCCUGGAAAACAUCAUCUCUGCUUACCUCAAACGACGUCACACCAUAGGGUUUGCAUUUGCUGUGGCCACUUAGCAUAUUGACUCUGGUGUUAAAACUGGCAAAGGGGCAAAUGAUAUUCACUUUGUCAAGGCUGACUGAUGGAAAAAGGAGCAAAGCCAACAGCAAAUGCCAUCUCUGAUAGGAGACUGACGCAAAAGAGGCUGGGGAACCAUAUAGGACUUCUGCCCUGUUUAUGUAACCUGGAAUAUUUUUUGUAAAUGCUCAAACUGACGUGCAUUGAGUUUUGGCAUGUGUUUGUCAGUGCCCUUGUUUUAUAGCCUUGCUGAAGACUCAUUGACAGAUGGCACUCAAGAGAAUGCUUUUUAUAGGUGCCAGUGUCCAACUCAGAUACAGUUUCUGAAAGCAAAAGGUGUUUGGGGGUGGAGGGAUUUGAAGUACUGCCAAAGCAUUUUGUAGAAGGUGCUUUAGUGGUGCUGCAAAAACGGAAGGUAUGUGGGAGAUGAUUGAGGAACAUCGACUCUCAUGGAUGUUGAGUCACCAUGUUCUAUUAGAAAGCACACAGCAUUUAUGACAUAGAAGAAUACGAAAAAAAGAUUAUGAAGGACAUAAUCUGUAUCCCAGAGCGGUGUCUAUCUGACCUUAUGUGCUGGGAAUGAUUUCUUGUUAUAGCUUGACCUAGUUCUUUCCUGGAGACUACAUGAAUUACAAGUGAAUGCAGACAUUGGCUGCCUAUUACUUCACAGCACCUUUCUUCUCGGUGCCAAGGAGCAGUGAAGCUCCCUGAAGGGGCUGGGGCUGACAGUGACUCCAGUGCCCUCACUGAUGCAUGCUGUCCCAUGGAGGCUAAGCAUACUGGGCAGAACUGGGUGCUGGCAACAGGCUCUAGCAGCAACUCAGGGUAUGAUAACCCAGGUCCAGAGUUGAUGCAGGUGUUCAUCCAAUAGGAAAAGGAGACGGAGCCAGAGGCAGGACUGGAGAUGAAGCUGCAUUGUGGAUGUUUGCUGAGAGACUUAAAUGGGAACAACUGCUAGACCACAUUGUGUUAACCUGCCAAUGAUGCCUACAUACAUUGCCUUCCUAUAGAAAAUAGGGUUUAUGGGGAAAAGAGAUUAAAAAAAUCUUGUACAUUAAUUUUCUUUGCAAACUGAAAGCCAGAAAGUGGCAAAAACAUCCUCUGUGCCUUGAUAUGCCACAGAUCAAGACAAGACAUGCCAGGAAUAGAAAGACUUAAAGGACAAAAGACUUUACAUGAAGCAAAGUAAAAAUUGGGACAUUGUGAAGCAUGUCCUGGUGUUGUUUCAGAAUUAAAUUGUGAAGUGCUAUCGACAUGGACUGGUGGAGGGCACCAGAGAAGCCUGUUGUGUAGUGUCCAUGGAGUAAGAAUCUUACUCUUCCUGGCAAGGCAGGCAACAACUGACUAAAACCCACAGCAAUCCGCAUUAUCUAGUUCCUGAUUGGAAAUACUGGAUAUUGUUAUUCAUAACUACUCUUUGUAAAGCACAUUAUGAUAAUUGUCAGGUGCUAUGAUACUUCUUCUUAUUAGGUAAAUCUUGUAUAUGUGGAUGAGGUAUUAUUUUUCCAUGGGUAUGUUUAUAUGAAUUGCAGCCACUGCUUCUACCUAGAGAAUUAUGUCAAUGUAAUGCAUGGUUAUGUAAGUUUUGUUUAGGUCCUCAUAUGCAAUGUGUUACACGGCCUGGAAGACUUCCAGGAGUGAAGUGAUGGGAUUGUUAUCUGCUGCAUGUGAUUUUCUCUCUCCCCUUCUUUCCAAAGGUGAAUUUUGUGCUCUUUUUGUUUUCAGUGUCCUUUAAAAUAAUUAUUACAUUUUCUGUACAGUGUUCUGUCUAUAUCUAUGUGACUCAUAGUCAGAGUAGAAGAUGCUGAGCUUUGUGCUUGGGACAAUUCCACUGGGAUCUCAUCCAAGUCUUUAAGCUGGCCUACCGAGAAAGCUCUUUUUUCUGCACAGCUUUUCUUGGGAUAUGGAUAAUCCAUUGUGCCUGAGCAAUGAAACUGCUGUCUAUUCUUCCUUGCUCUGCCUCUCUCUGUAGGUGACCGUUCAUAUAGGUGUCUGGGGUCCCAAACUUCUGAGUGCCUUGGGAAUAAGGACGCAACACUGAAAUUAAAACUGAAGAUUAAGCACAGGUCUUAGACCUGCACCUAGGCAGGUGAAGAUGUGUAGUGCACAUCUAUAGUGCUCCUUCUCUGUUCUACAGGGUCACUGAGGAGAAUAGAAGACCCAGGUUACAGUGCUCCCAGGAGGGUAGGAGUGCUGCUGUGGGACGUGUUCCUGCUAUCCUUCAUCGUUUUCAGCUUUUCGAGUUCGGAGUCUAGCACUGGUUCUUCAGAUCCAGGUUUUAAAGCAGAAUCACCCUCUAUGCAUUAUACAAUUCACUUGGAGAAGAGGGGAAAAAAUGGGAGGUAUAAACCUUGGAGGUAUAACAAUACAGAAGUGCAGUUCUCUAGUAAAUAUUUCAGAAUUCCAAGAGAGUCUGGAACAUGGGAAUAAGACUCAUGGACACCAGAUUUGUAUAUGGAGUGGAUGCCCAAGAAGUCUGAUUCAAAGAGAACCUUAAAUAUCAUGGAUUAAUGGACAAGGGUCAACAUAAGAUUUGGACCUUUGCUGCCAGAAGGCUGCAUGCAUGGUGCUACCAUCACAUCCACUGAAUGUGCUGGAGCUUUCCUAUGAAGGUUUUAAUUUCCUGCCACUGAUUUUGUUUUUAAAUUUUUUGAGACAUUAGAAGAUCUUUAGCCACUACUGUGUAUCAGCAACUGAAAGGAUUUGAAUGUAACUAUUUGCUCCAAAAAACCUACGUAGCUCUUUUCACUCCUUUUGGCAAGUAUCCAUGAACACAUUCAAGUUACAGAGAGCCCUGGAGCAGUUCUUGCUGCAGUAUUUGACCAAUGCAUUGUAUGGACUGCUCUCCAUUUGUAAGUUGAGAGCUUUUCUGUGCAGGCAGCCCAAGCACUGGAAGGUCAACAGUCUGAUGCUGCCUUAAAAACCAUGAGAUUGAUAAGUUAGAGGACAGCAUUUUAAAGUUGAAUUUCAUAAGGUGUUUUCUGAUCUGCUAUGCUUAUCGUUAUCAACUGGUAUUUUCCUCUUUUGUUCUUCUCUCCUUCCCCUCCCAUUUCCUUGUAUCUGUUGUCGACCAACUUUGACUAUAAUGGUAAAAUUGCUUUUUGCAGAAUUUUGUUGGAACAGAAUGUUGGCUCUUGGAGUAUUACUGAUACAGCUCAUAGUGAAGAGAUUAAAUAUUGAAUUCAGUGAGGCAAUUCCAAGCAGGUUUUUACAUUAUUUGAGUAGAACCAAAGCCUGCUUACUCGGCUCCCCUGGAACAAAAGAAAUUUCAGUAUUUUCUGGGACUGUCAAGGAUUGUUAUAUCAAAGUCAAUGUCGAAGUCUAUGGUACUCGCUCUGUCUUUGGAAAUCUUUAGAUCUGAUAUAAAUAAACACCUCACAAAAAUAUAUGUUGCAUAUUUGGCAGUGAAGAGAUGCUGCAGUUCGGUGACAGAGCCACUCUUUGAAAAGAGACUCACCACGUGUUCCCAAGAGACACAUCUCAUUAAAAUAAAAUGCAAGGAAAACACGAACAUAUCGAGAAUAGUGGUCAGUCUAUUUCAAAGGCAACGAGCUAUGCCAAGAAAAACAUUGUAGUCGUGCUUCCAGCUUAAAACAACAUCUGAGAAGCAUACUGGAAAGCUUUUUACUUCAGUUUCAGUUGAGUGCCAGUGUAAGUUUUCAGGCUUAAGUACUUAUCUGAGCACAUUAUGGAAAAUACAGAAUUAGGAAGAAGCUGUCCUAAUACUGGACCACUUUUGUUAUCUACUUUAGUUGAAAAAUAGGUUGCUCUUCAAGAGAGAGCAGGAAGAAGGACCUAGAAAAGAGCUUUAAAAAAGAAUUAUUUUUAUUUUUUAAAAAGAGGGAAUCUAAAUUGGAGAACCAAGUCAAUCACAUUUAUAUGCAAUAAUGAAUAAUGUAUAAUCCUUUCGGAAGUGAUUGAAAACCUAAAAAAGAAAUUCAUUUUCCUUACAGUAGUAGUACAGUAGUAGCUAAAUGGAAAACUGGUGGUGAAAACCCUUGUUUUAGGCAUAACAGUCUUAUCUGCAGAGUCUUUUUAAUGACAUUACACAGCAGUUUCUACUGGCUACAUACUGUAUGAAAUCUGUUCUGCUAAAUAUUGCUUCUUUGAGAAAUUAUUAGCAGAAUAAAUAUAGCACAGAAUUGAUUUUAAAAAGUCAAAAUAAAUGUUCUUUUAGUACACAUUUCUAUGGACAAUUGGGGAAAACAGUACGAACUGGAAAGAAAUGAACAAGAAGAGUUAAAAGGAUGGUAGUGUCUGGCUUAGGUGACUUCUAGCAAAAGGUGACAUCCAAAAUGCCCUACACCAGGCAACUGAGAACACCUGAGGUAAGAGAAUCCUUAUCAGCUGGCAAAGGGGCCUCUUCCUUCUCUGGAUCUUCUGGAUAUCUGGAUAUUUCUGGAUAGGAGGCUUGCUUUAAUGGGAAGUGGCUAAAUUUGGGUGAUGCUAAUUAUCCUUCAUGUGCAAAUUUUUAAACUAAUAAAUUACCUCAAGUCUUGUAUGAAAUAUCACGGAGACACUUGAUUUCUGUUGGUUUCAUUUCCCAAGAAUAUUUUUAUUUCUUUCACUCUCGUAAAACAGGCUUACCUCGUUUCCAAAUCUCAUUCCUUGCACAGCUACCUUAUAAUCACCAAAGCAUUACUUCAAGGUUCGGCCUUAUCACAGGAGAAUCAGAGAUGAUAUACAGUGAGAAAUAGCGCUUACUAAAUUUAAACAUCAAGGCAAAUUGUUAUCUACAUGCAAGACAGCUUUAUUUUUAUGAUCAUUUAUUCAUUGCUCGUCUAGUGUACCGGGAGCUGUGCAGCACAUAUUGCUAGGUAUACUCUCUGCCCUUUGAAUAUUGAUGUUUUGGAAUUCUCCUGAGAAUGAAAGGUGGAUUGAUCUACUCUUGAAGCUUGACAAGUGAUAUUCUUAUUUAUCUUUUUAGAAUGAGGAAACAAAAUGCAAUCACCAUUCUUUCUGAGCAUUUGGAAAAAUGUAUAUAGCAGAUGUGAACAGUUGCAAUUUUCAUCCUCUUUUAAACACACUGGAUAGGCAUACUUACAGAUUUUAUGAUCUAAUUGCCUUCUUCAUAUAUAAUAUAAUAAUGUAUUUCACCGCCACAGAUGGGGAUAAAUGCUGCUGGAAAACAGCUAUGAAAGGUAAAAUAUACAGUAUUCUUCGACGUGUCGCAUUUAUCUGUUUAAUAAACCUGGUUCAUGGUUUUAAAGAACUAUAGCCAGCCACGAAUAGCAUAAUUUGUCAGCCCAAAAGGGUCUGGUUGCAGAGCAAUUAGGAUGCCUAGCCUCAGAGAACAGUGAGCACUAGUUCUGCUUCAUAUAUGUGCUGACAGAGGUUCCCAAGGGAUCCUGCUGUAAG